UAAAUCAGACUCAAUAUAAAAUGUAAUGAUUAAAAUUUGCACAUGUUGUAAAAUAACAUUUAUAAAACAAAAAGUAUUUUAAAAAAAAUGGAAUGUAUAUGAUAUGUAUUUAUUAGGAUCUCUAAAUAUGUCAUUCGUUUGUGUCAUGACUUACAUGAAAAUUGUAAACAAAAUAUGUUUAUAUUAUGAACAAAACAAAUAUUUUAGUGAAUACAUGCAACAUCAUGAUUGUAUACUAAUGUUAACGGUAGAAAGGACCAUAUAUUAACACUAUGGUACUAAAUAAAACUUAGUAAAUGUACAAUAUAUACUUUAUAUACUUCAUAUAAUUUUAAUAAUCAUAACCACAUAAACCCUGGGUAAGAAUUUAUUCACAUACCUCAAGAAUGACAUUUAAUGAAAUAUACACUGAAUUUUGAUUUAUUCUAUAUUUAAUACUAAUAACCGGUUUAAAUCACAAAAUACCUAACAAAUAUAAAACAAAACAGAAAACUAAGACAACAUAAAAGAGAAAAUAAUUCUUUUAAAUAUUCAAUUUCUCAUAAAUGUUUGUUUUCUUCUGAUUUCACUUUCUCUUUAUGUGUUUCCUAUUUAGAAUUCUAAGACAAUUGUAAGAUAUGACAAACAAAAAGUGUUCACCAACAUAUACUAACUACUGAGUCAUGUAAAAAUAAUAUGGCAUUGCAAUAGAUGAGUUGUCAAAAUUAUCUGAUUGUUAAACUUUUUUACACUUAAUGAUAAUAAAAAUAAUAAACCUACAAAUAUAUCUUAUUCUUGUUGAACUGAACUUGUAACUUGUUCAGAAAUUUGAAUUGACAAGACUGUUUUGCUUUUAAGUAAACUUUUUUAAACUCUUUUCUGAAAAUAAGUUAUCUUUAAUUAAAAAAACAAUGAGCUGAUUUCAAAGAAGUUUGAAUGAAAAACUAAUGAUGAUUCAUAUUCUACACACUAGUAUUGUGUUCAUAUCUUCCACAUAUAAUGAGUCUGCUUAGCAGAUAGUUGAUACAUACUUUAUGAUAAUUUUCAGUUUUUAUACAAAUAAUCACCCUGAAAUUUCCUAUUCAUAUAAGGAAAUAGCACCACAUCAUUUUAAAUGAACAUUUCUGAUUAAUAUGAUCACAAGACUCAAUACACCACAGUGCGUAUGAGAAAUUUAGGAUGCAGAAAUAUUUAAUUUUGAUAAGAAGUUAUUUUGUCUAAAAUUGGUGCUGCAAAAUCCAAAGAAUGAAAAUCAAUUUGGCGUGCCAUAAAAAAUCUGAAUGAUCAAGAAAUAAGCAUUUAAUUCCAACUGUAGAUCUACAAAAAUUAAAAGGAAUCUUGUAUCUAUGGAACUAAAGGAUUGAAAAAUAUCAUUGAUAUGUUGAAUUAAAAUUGAGUCAAUGCGAUACUGACUUAGACCUGUACUGACAAAUGAUCGUUUAUUUUUACAGGUUUAUAAUUCAUAGUUUAUAAUUUUAAAAGUAUAGGAAAGUUUCUAGCACUUUAUGAAUUUGGAAAAUAUAAAUAAUAAAUAAUAAAUAAAAAUAAUCAUAUACAAAUCUAUCUAAAAUUCUUCUUGAAUAUGAAAUAAAGUAUUUGAUAAUGAAGGUAUUUUAAUUCCCAUGAAAAGUUAAGUAGCAUAUUAGCAACUAAUGGUUGACGGUGUUCAACAUUAUUACCCAAGUAAUAGUACUGAACGGUCAUACUUUAUGGAUCACAAAUCUUGUCAGGAAAUGACAAUCAAAAUUAUUGCAAGGUUUUUAUUUAUGGAAAUGAUGCUACUAGAUGAGUAUCGCAUUAAUUAGAAUUUACAUUUUGAUAUUUGAUAAAUAUGAAUAAUUUUUUUUUCUGAAAUCGCAAUAAUUAAUCUUGCAUUUUUGAUUCAUUCUUCAAAAAGUCACAAUAAUUUCUGAAAUUACAGUAAUGGUUUAGCAAAUAUAUAUCUUAUUAUCAUGUAUAAUCAGUUCAUUAUUUUGUUUAACUUUUCACUUUUAACUGAAUUGAUUUCCAUAAAUUCAUAUGAGGGUAGGGAGGCCAAGUAUUCACCUUUUCCAUACCGUUAUAUGUUAAUGAGUCUAUGAAACUAUACAUUUUAGCUACUUUUAGUCUCAAUGGAGAAAUCAUUUAUUAUAAUUUCAACAAAAUUGCAAAAUUGUACUGAAAAGCAUGAAGGAUGAUAUACUUUUCCCACUGUCAAUAGUAUUGUAAAUAAUACUCAAAAACACAUAGUUAUAUGAAUCUGUGUAAUAUAAAUAUAUGCCAUUUUUUUUUAUGGCAAAUUUCUUUUCACUGCCAAAACAAGUUAAAUUGACAUUGGAUAAAAAUAACCCAAUCAAAAGUAAUUAUACAAUCAUCAACAAGCAUAUUAU
rnacentral:lncRNA from 1 species